CGUCACACGAAAGCAUUACUGAGCAGUGUGGACUUUGCUGGAGAUUUCGUUGUGAGACAGAGGCCGCCUUGCAAAACAAACCGACUCACCCUGCUUGAACUUCUCUGCUCCCUGAUUUUCCGUCUGAAAGACGGUCUCCACGUUCCGAGUCCAGCAGGAAGGAAGUGCCGUCUGCCCAAAGGACAGGAUUCUCAGGGCUGGCGGUGAUGGUCGUGUUCCGUGCCAAUUUAAAAAAUAAACGGGUCGCCGGUU